CCUUUACUAUCGUCUGCAAUAUGAAGAAAGAUGUGUACUACAACUGAUCAGUAUAAGUGAGCGUACUAAUUAUGUAAUUUCAACCAAUCACGUUGAACAUGUCCUUUUUGAGAAGAGCCCAAUCGUGGGCCGUUUUUUAUAUCAUAUAUAUAAUAUACAAUGCUCAGCUCAAAAAUGUUACAGAUGUUUAUCGGAAAUUACCAUGAAAAUAGAAAAGGUUACUGUGAAAAUAAUUUGUCAAGGUCAAGAAGAAAAAGAAUUUUACCGUAUAAUUUAUUUCGCAAGGGAUUUUUAAUGGUACCAUUUCAAUGACACUACUAUCAAAUAAUGAGCAGAUGUAUACAUACUGAUAAUUCAUAAACUUGCAUAUGAAUUUCCUAAUUUCCAUCCACUGUUUUUUAUUUAAAUUAAGAACGAGGAAAAACGAGCUUAAGGAAACCCGCAAAGCCUUCAUAGAAAAGGCAGAGGCACAAAAAAAAAAGAUCAAUGAGAAGUUUUUCAAUACAACUGAAUGAAGAAAAGGCAAUGAGCUAGAACAAGUUCAAAGUUUUGUAUAUCUUAGGGUGGUUGUCAAAGAUGACGGUGACUAGUAAGAAAAUCUGGAAGCGAGGAUGACGAGUAAACAAGUGGGAGCGUUGAACGCGAUAAUAAGAUCUUAACAAAGUAGAGGAAGAGAAGUUAGAUAUAUGGGAAAGAAAAAUAAUGAAAUGAGGAAUCUAUUUGGAGGAGCAGAACUAAGCAAAAUAAUAAGAUCCAAAAAAAUAGAGUGGCUGGGUCACAUACAAAGAAUGCCAGAUUUUAGACUAACAAAAAAAUUAUGGAUAUGAAACAAGGAGGAACAACAAAAAAAGGAAGACCAUGGAAAAGAUGGUACGCAGAGGUGAUGGAAGACCUAAGAGAGAGAGAGAGGAAUUUGGGACUGGAAAAAGAAAAAAAAAAGGAAAUGGUGGAAGGGAAUCACUUUAAAUCACAUCUAAAAUAAUUUGAAGUAAAAGUGUAGUUAAUGCCUUCUUAGUUAACUAAAAUUCAGAAAGCUGCCAUUAUUGCCAAAUUCAAAGAUGGCUGGUGUUGUGACUGUCAUGGUGAAAGCAGUGUCAUCGUGAAAUUAGAACAGUAAUAAGAUGAUACCGCGCCUGCGUAGUUUGCAGUGACUUUUUUAAUACUUCCCUUUUUUUCAAGUUAUCUAACUUCUGUCAGAUAUAAGGAAACUACUGUCAAUAAAAUCAGUGUUCAUCCAAUUUCACUAUUGUGUUCGUCUACACUUUAAUAGCUGGUCUAUCAAAAACUGUCAACUCAGCUAGGUCUUUAUACUACUACCGUAGCCGGACUGAAAAAGCGAUGGGAACAAGACGGGACUUUGCGCCCAAAGGCUGGGUCUGGUAGAAGUAAAAUUUCAAAUGGCACACAAGAUGUUGCAUUGAUUAAUUUUUUUAAGAGAACAUCUCUUUAAAUCGGCUGCUAGUACUGAAAAUGCAACAAACUUUCUAGGAUCCUGUUCUACGGCAUGUGAGCGUCGGAUUUGAAAAACUGUGCAAGUGCUAAGAGAAAGCAUCGCUUUCAAAUGAGUGCAAGUCAAGUUGUAUUUGCACAUAGUUAUGUGUAUAGUGAUCUGGAUUUUUGGGAAAGAAUUGUCGUCACAAAUGAAAAAAACAUUCAAAUCGUGCAAUGCAAUACGACGGACGUAUUCGCAUUCAUAGACCAUCAAAUUGAAGAUUUAAAACACAAUAUGCUGAGUGAAGUAAUGAGCCAUAUUUUCAGUAAAUAUUUGUACUUGAAUGAGUAUCAAUGGGCUGGAGUAUGCUGGAGAAUUGGUGCAAGGUUCAGUUCUGAAGUUUACCUCAUUAUUCUAGAGAAAAUUAUAUUGCUAUUGAUAAAAUCAAACUUAUGAUGAAAGCGAUUUCAAUUACAGACAUGAUAAUUGUCCUGUCCACACCACCCGCAUAAUUCAAAAAUGGUUUUGACUAAACAAUAUUGACACUUUGACUACACCGUGGCCGGCAAAUAAUCCUGAUAGGAAUUCCACCAAAAAAUUAUGGGGGUGCAUUGUAAAAAACAAAUAACAGAAGGAAUUUUCGUCCCAGAAAUCAUGAAGAGUUAAGGGAAGCCAUUGAAACAGCUUAAGAAGACCUUAAAUUAAAUGGAAAUAUUUGUCGGAAUUUAAUUCACUCCAUGCUAAGAAGAUUAAAAAAAUUGAUUGAAAAAAAAUGGAGCCACCAUUAAUUACUAACAAAUUUGUUCUUCUAUUCAAUUAUUUAUUGUGUUUUAUCAUCAUUAAAAGUAUUAUGUCUA